ensembl:lncRNA
AGGCUAUAGAAACCAGGGUUAGGAGACUGUACAGACAUAGAUCUGAAUUCCUUUACCAAGCCAGUGGUGGGAUGAGGAGGGGACCCCGGGUCUCUCCACUCCCGUGGUGUGAUCUAAUGGUGAAUGUAAGUGCUGUCUGUAAUCCUGACUUUAAAUGCACACAGAGCCAGCAGAGAGCAGCCAAAGUCAUGUGAAAGCAUAGAUAAAUGGUUGUCUUUUUUUUUAAUUAACACAUGGCUUAUUUUUUACUGGCCUGGGCUUGGGAAAUGCUGCAAGGGAAUUUUGUCCUAUAGCUUGGGGCUGUCUCCACUGCCUGCAGAGCCACUUUCACAGCUCAGGUGCCAUUUAAUGAAAGAAAUCCAAUUCCACCCGUCAUCAUUUAUUGUAAGGGUCCACCAGAGCUUUUGGUAUCCCUCCAUCACCCCAAGUCAGGAAGCCCUGGGCAGACAUCCCCCACUGCUGCGCUCCAUCCUGCUCCCCAUGCAUCCUGUGCAGAUGCUGCUCUGUGUGUGACAUGGGACUCAGUGUGCAUUCUCCAUGUCCCUUUGCAUUUGGAUCAUGUCCUCCGAUAAACACUGCUGUGUUCCUCUUGAGGUUUGAAUGGAGAAUGAGCUGUGGGAUUUCAGGCAAAGGCAGCGUUAUUUUGGAGCGCCACAGCCUUCCAAGAGGGAUUUAAGGAGCUCUGAGUGGUUGGGAGAAUAUCUCCUCUCAAAUCUGAACAGGCAGCUCGAUAAGUGCAAAGUUGAAGAAAGUGUCCUCUCCCCCUUGUAUGCCAUUAAUAUUUAGGGCCGGCCCUCAAUUAUUCAUUCCUUCAGGGUGUGCUUUUAUCAUCUCAGUGCUACAGGAUUAGCUUGUGCACUGUCUCUGAGCACUCAGAAAAUACCUUUCCCCAAGAUAUGUGAAACUUCAUAUCUGAGAGGACUUUUGCAGGCAAAAUAUAUGCCAUGCCAUUAGUCGAAGAAAGCAAACCUUCCCCAUCCCCAACCGCAGCUCCUUUCAGACCACACACUGCUGAGCACUGGCAGAUGUGCAGGAUGCAGCUGUGACCUGAGCGUGUUGUCUCCUCCCAUUGCAGCAGCAGGGCACAGCUGGAUGGUCCUGCAGAAACAUCCGGGGGAAGUUUCAUCAUUCCCAGCUGGAAAAGGAGCCUGAGCUGCGAGAGGCACGCAAGCACCAUGCUGCUGCAAUCACUGCAAUGGCAGAGUGGGUCAAAACAAGGAAAAAGCAGGAGGUAUUCUUUUUUUUCCUGCCUCAUGAAGG